CAAUUAGCCGUCCACCGUCCGACGCACCACCGUCCGUCGCACCCACCGGCGCUUCACCCACCGCAACACCUGACGCCUCACCCCCCUCGUUGAUCGAUUUUGCCGCCCACCUCCACCUCGGCGAAUGGAUUAGGCGACGCCCUAGCCGCCGCUGUUAAGAGCCACCACCGGAGAGGGAUCGACGUCGCGAAGCCCUUGCCGCCACUCUACUUCGCCUCGACGAUAUUCUGCCGUCCAUCUUCGCCCCAGAGACGUCCCAAAGCCGCCGGAUUUUAUUCGGAGGGCUGAGCUCCAAGUUUCACCAUUGACGUCUGCACUCUCCGGCCCGCUCAAGCUCGCCCUUCUCCAUUCUUCUCCAAUUUUUGAUCGAUUAUUCCACUCGCCCCGCUCAAGCUGCACUCCGGUGUUGGUGUUUUGUUAAAUUGUGGGAGGAAUUUCAGAAAGUGUUUAUUCAUCCAUUUGGAAGAGAAUCGACAAGAAAGGGAUAAGCUUCAACGUUCACAGGAGGAUGUUAUUCCAAAAAAGAGAUUGAUGAAAUGAGGAUAGAGUGGGCAGAGUUUCUAAGUUCGAUUGAUGAUUGAUGAUGAUGGUGUAACUUUGACACUCAAGUAACCUCAUUUUUGACUCACAUGUAUUAUGAUCAACAAUAUUUUUUUGGAUUUGAUGUAGAAUGUUUGUAUGAUGGAUACUUUUUCAAUGUAGGAUGAUAAUUAACUUUGAAACUAAUGAAUGACCUUUUUAUUA